rnacentral:rRNA from 1 species
AUAGUUAGAUCAUGGCUCAUUGAGAAAAGCUUGCGACAGGCUUAACACAUGCAAGUCGAGGGGCAGGGGGAAGGUUAGCUUGCUAAUCUUUGCCGGCGACCGGCGCACGGGUGAGUAACACGUAUGCAACCUGUCCGGUACAGGGGGAUAAGCGGCGGAAACGCCGUCUAAUACCGCGUGACAACCCGAGGGGGCAUCCCCUUGGGUUCAAAGGAGAGAUCCGGUACCGGGUGGGCAUGCGGCGCAUUAGCUAGUUGGCGGGGCAACGGCCCACCAAGGCGACGAUGCGUAGGGGUUCUGAGAGGAAGGUCCCCCACACUGGAACUGAGACACGGUCCAGACUCCUACGGGAGGCAGCAGUGAGGAAUAUUGGUCAAUGGGCGGAAGCCUGAACCAGCCAAGUCGCGUGAGGGAAGACGGCCCUACGGGUUGUAAACCUCUUUUGCCGGGGAGCAAGCCUGAGCACGAGUGCCCAGGCGGAGAGUACCUGGAGAAAAAGCAUCGGCUAACUCCGUGCCAGCAGCCGCGGUAAUACGGAGGAUGCGAGCGUUAUCCGGAUUUAUUGGGUUUAAAGGGUGCGCAGGCGGAAGAUUAAGCCGGCGGUAAAAAUUCCGGGCUCAACCCGGUCGAGCCGUCGGAACUGGUUUUCUAGAGUGGGCGAGAAGUAUGCGGAAUGCGUGGUGUAGCGGUGAAAUGCAUAGAUAUCACGCAGAACGCCGAUUGCGAAGGCAGCAUACCGGCGCCCUACUGACGCUGAGGCACGAAAGCGUGGGGAUCGAACAGGAUUAGAUACCCUGGUAGUCCACGCAGUAAACGAUGAGCGCUAACUGUCCGGGCAAAAUGAUGCCUGGGUGGUACAGUGAAAACGUUAAGCGCUCCACCUGGGGAGUACGCCGGCAACGGUGAAACUCAAAGGAUUGACGGGGGCCCGCACAAGCGGAGGACAUGUGGUUUAAUUCGAUGAUACGCGAGGACCUUACCCGGGCUCAACGCAGAUGCAUGUCUUGAAAGAGGCAGUUCCUUGGAACAUCCUGCGAGGUGCUGCAUGGUUGUCGUCAGCUCCGUGCGUGAGAUGCGGGCUU